rnacentral:lncRNA from 1 species
GCUUUGAUACCUUGAUGCACGAACUCAUUACUCUGAUACUUAUAGAUAUUUAGUGUGUGAUUGAAUUUCAAAAUUCUUGUAUCAAUUAAGAGUUGAGAUAGAAAAAAAUUUUACUAUGUAUGCUUUAUAUUCAAAUUGAAAUACUCUUAUGAUAAAAUAAAAAUUAUUUUGAUAUAGAUGCACUAGUUGCAUUAUUUGCUUGUACUCAAUAUUUUGUCAUAAUAAAAAAGACAAAGAUUGUUG